rnacentral:lncRNA from 11 species
CUUCCCGGCCGGCUGGCGCGCAGGCGCAGGCGCUGCGGGAUGACGGCAUCGUCCGGCGCGCGGGAAGAUUCUCCUCAGAAGAGGCGGCUCGUCGGCAGGCGGGAGGGUCCGGCGCUGCCUCUCUUGCCGCCAUGGCCGCCCAGAAGAGACCCCGGCCCCGCCGCCUCCCGCUCCGGGAAGUCCCUCCCUCCCGGCGCAUCAUCCGCGCUGCUUUGACGCUCCCAGCUCGGCGUCCCUUCUUCGUCUUCCCCUCGCGCUCCUCCGCGGAGGCCCUCCGGUCGGCCCCUCGCUCUCUGACUCUGUGAACGGUGGGGCGGCCCCCAAUGCCGGUCAUCCCCAUUCCCCGCCGGGUGCGCUCUUUCCAUGGGCCCCACACCACCUGCCUGCACUCGGCCUGCGGGCCGGUCCGGAGUGCUCCCUUGGUGCGCACCAAGUACCACAACUUCGACCUCUACCUGAAGUCCCGCUGGAUGUACGGCUUCAUCCGCUUCUUGCUGUACUUCAGCUGCAGCCUCUUCACCUCCCUGCUCUGGGUGGCGCUCUCCCUCUUGUUCGGACUCCAGUACUUCGGCAUCCGGGUCUUCCUCCGCUUCCAGUACAAACUCUCUGUCAUCUUGCUCCUGCUGGGGAGGCGGCGGGUGGACUUCGGCCUCCUCAACGAACUCCUCAUCUACGGCAUCCACGUCACCAUGCUCCUGGUGGGCGGCCUGGGCUGGUGCUUCAUGGUCUUUGUGGAUAUGUGAAUAAUAAAAUGCGGGCGCAUGUCCGCCAGGGACUCGAAACAUGGUGCGCGGCGUCUUUGUGUUGGCCAUUCGUUCAGCGCUGGGGGUAUUUCGCAUUCGGUGCAGUGCAGGGAAAACAGGACUCUGGGGAGAGCAGACAAUCGCAAAAAGACAUUACUAUGGGUUUUUAUACUACAGUAGAGUCUCACUUAUCCAACAUAAACGGGCCAGCAGAACGUUGGAUAAGUGAAUAUGUUGGAUAAUAAGGAUUAAGGAAAAACCUAUUAAACAUCAAAUUAGGUUAUAAUUUUACAAAUUAAGCACCAAAACAUGUUAUACAACAAAUUUGGCAGAAAAAGUAGUUCAAUAUGCAGUAAUGCUAUGUAGUAAUUACUGUAUUAUGCGAAUUUAGCACCAAAAUAUC